AGAUAAAUCUAGGAAAUGAUAUUCCACAAUUGAAAACAAUGACCUACAAACCAAAGUUAUAUCUCAUGUUUGUAACCGAAGAUCCGACCAGUGACUUAUUGAUUGAUGAAAUACGACAGUUUUCAAAAAAGAAGAAGUUGCCAUGUCAUAUUAUAGAGCAGAAACUGGUAUUUCUCGGAGACAAAACUAGUUCUGUUUGCAUCAACGGACAUACGUCAGAUGAAUCUAUACAGAAACUAGUACAAAAAGGAUGCUCGAUAUUUCAAAGAGGGAAUACAGAAAAAGACGAGAGUGAAAUCAGUUACUUCAAGAGAAUGACUGAAGCUGUCAUAGGAGAGAAAGUUCUGCCAGUGAUUGUUUCAUUAUGCAUUGGAGAACAAACAAAAAACGUGCGGGAAAAUGCUAGAAAGUUGAAGAUUCCAGUUGUUCAAUUCAAGAAGAACAAUUCGAAUGUGUACGUGCUGACAGACGAAUAUAAUGAACAUAUAAUAGAUCUGAACACUCCUUGGAAUGCAAGGAAACAACAUUCUGUACUUGAGAUUAAUGAUCACGAAGAAAUAUCAUCUAUUUCCGAAAUCCAAGGCAAAAUGGAUUUGGACCUCUUGAUUUGUAACCUGCUCAUCGGAGUUUUAAUGACAGAAGAGGAUGAGAUAUAUGGAGAUGAUACAGAAAUAUUUUGGAACGCAUUAUCAAUGUAUCUUUUGAAAAUUGGCAAAUGGCAAAUCCCGAAAGAAAUUGUAACUAGAUCGUUCGACCAUCGUUCGAUAGAAUACAUUUAUGAAAAGGAACUGACAACGGAAUUUGAAAAUGGUAUAUGGAAAGACUUAGAGAAGUUGAGUGGCAAGGCAUAUAUCCCACCUAAAGCGACUACAAUAAAGAAACCUUCUAGGAAAGAUAACUGAGGAAUACCAGAGUUAAAUGGUGAAUCAGUUGCUUUACACACAUUACUUGAAACGUCUUAUGAAGAAAAGGAAACCUUUUUGGCUGUUUCUAAUCCUGAAUUAUAUGGACUAAUUUUCUACGCCUUGCUCCAAAAGCAAUAUUUUUCAGGGGCAAAACAACUAGUAGAAACUGGAUAUAUUCACAUUCAGCCUAUCCUGAUUGGAAGCACUAUUCUACAGGAUGCUGAGAGCAAUUGGAAGUCAACACCUGUGCAAAAAGAAACAUUGCAAAGAUUGAACAAUGCCUUUACUCAACGUGCUAUCAAGAUCACGCAAUGCAUAUACGAUGCUGAAAGUGAACUGGAAGAAUUAAAAACCAAUGGAACAAAUAAUAAACACAAUGAAGAUGUAGAAUUAGAACUUGGGUAUCCUGUUAAUCACUCAGGUAGACUGUUACUAAAUCAUGGGUACUUAGAGGACGCUAUCAAAACGGAAAACAAAACGUAUCUCGAUAAUGAAACUGUCAUCAAAGUUCUGAAUAAAAUGUGGUAUGGGGAAGAACAACUUUCCUUCCGUCAGAUUGGUUGUUUCAUUGUAUUGGCCUUCAUGCACCUAUUUAUAUUACCUGUAUUGAUGGUAUCCAUGGAAACCCGACCACUUCAAUGGUUUUAUAAGAAAUAUAAUCUACCACUAAUGAAGGUCUUUUUACAACUGAUAAGUUACUUAGCACUGUUAAUGGCUUUUUCAUACAUGUUGGUGUUCAAUCUGAGCGAGACUAUAUCAUAUACAGAUUAUUUUAUCAUUGGCUGGAUGAUUAGCUUUUUCCUUGAUGAAACAAAACAGGCACUUGUUUCAGUCAUUAGAAAACGAUUUAAGAAAUAUAGAAGCGAUUGUUGGAAUAAACUGGAUUGGAUUUUAAUUCUUGGAUUCACAACAGCAGUUUUAUUAAAAUUUGGUGCAGAUAAAUACUGUCUAGCCGCUUCUCAGAUAUUGCUAGUUCUGAUUUUUAUCUUUCUAUGCAUUCGCGUACUAAAUAUGUUUAGUUGGUCAGAAUUUGUGGGACCUAAGCUUGUCAUGAUUAGGAAAAUGUUCAAAGACACGUUCGGUUUCAUGGUAAUUAUGACAGUGAUCAUGAUUAGUUACAAUGUAUCAUUUCACUCGCUGCUGUACCCAAAUAGUGACUUCAGUUGGUCAGAAAUAGAAAAAGUGAUGCAAAAUGGUUACUGGACACUGUUUGGAGAAAACAAUGUCGACAGUGAUGCAUUAACUGAACCUGACUGUACUUUCAACAAAACGAUAUAUUCAAGUGGAGAGUUGAGUAGAUGUCCUGCAACAAUUGGCUUGCAUAUAGCACCGUAUCUAAAAGCAAUAUAUAGUUUGAUUGCUGUUACUUUGUUGUUGAACUUGUUGAUAGCUAUUUACAGUGAUACUUUCCAACAAGUGCAAGUUCAAUCUAAGUUUCAUUGGUCGUUACUACAAAAAGAUUUCCUCGAAGAAUAUAGCUUGAAGACAAUUUUCCCUAUACAUUUACAACUCAUUGCUUUACCUGUAUGCCUGGUACACUGGUUGAUUUGGUGUAUUUGUAAUCGGUCAAAGUGCUGCUCGAAUGAAGAAGCAAAUAAUGUCCAAAAGGCUAACAAAUUGAAUACCAGUCCAAUGUUUGUUCGAGUUUUUUGUUACAACACAAAUUACGACCAGAGAUUAAAUUCUACAGAGUUGACAGAAGCAUUUGCUACAUUAAAAUCGAAAGGGGUCAUUGAUGUUAUCAAAGAAGAUACAAUAACGGUUCUUCAGGAACAAAUGGAAAUUCAGAAUAUAAUGAUGGCAAAUCAAGACGAACUUAAGAUGCAGUUGGAAUAUCAAACACAAAAGUUUGAGGAACAACAAGAAAGAAAUAUGAGAAGAAAUGAAAUGAUGCUUGAACAACAUUUGGCGGAGCAAAGAUCGAUGGAACGUGUUGAAAGUAUGAGAAGAGAAAAGGUUGAAUUAAGGAGCAUCUCUGAAAAGGAAAGCACAAAAGAGUAUGAGCAAAUGAGUCGCAAAAGUAGAGAUUUUGAAAACUUUAUGGUUAUUAUUUUUCGUUAAUACUACAUUAAAUUUUCCGGAAAAUUAGAAUAUCGGGGAAAUUAAUGGAAGAACAGAUACGUAGACUCUAUGAAAUGAAUGAGCGUCUGGAUGAGCUACAUGCAUUUGUUAAACACACACAAUACGAACAACAAGCGCACUCUGCACAGAUUCUAGAGAUAAUGGUUCAAAUGCAGCAGAAAAAAGAUGGGACCGAUAAAACUCAGCAGACAAUGGAAUGAUGUCGUCUCCAGAAUCCAUUCAUGCUGUACUAAGAAUACAAAGAACUGAUGUGUGACAGAAACUUUUCAUAUAUAUUUAAAUGUCGUUUGCACUAUUGCAUCCUAAGUGAAGCCAACAGAAAAGAAUAAAUGAUCGUACAAUUUUAACUUGCAUGGCAUUAUGUUAAUUGUUUUAGAAUUUAUAACCUUGAAAAAAUGUUAAAUAUUGCAAACUUAUUUAUCUCGAAAAAUUUGCAUAUUAUUAUUAAAUAAUACACUGAAAAUUGGGCUAACUGUUUAUGUAUUUAAAACAGAAAAGUAUAUUUAAAUGAGUACAAAUAAAAAACUGUAAAGUUAUUUCAAGACGGCUCCAUGUGAUACCCCGCUAAAGAUAGUAGGGGCAAUUGUGUUUUAAUGUCAUGGUGUCAUAUGGAUAAAUGUUCCUGAUCUUGUUCACUUAUUCGUUCGUAUUCAUAUAAAUGUGUGUUAUGCUUCUUGUGGAUAAUUUUAUUGUGUAUUUUAAAAUUGUAUUAAAACGAAAUGGGUUUCUUUGCAAAAUGACUGAAAAUGAUACAAAUACAUAAAACUGACAAUUGGUCAUGAAAGUAUUAGAUUAAGUGAGUACUGUUGAAUAGUAAAUAGAUUUUGUAUUUCAAGUUAAGCUUGUUUUGUCCUUUUGAUGUAUAGUUUUAUGGACAUUAGCUUUUUAUAAUUUACAUCCAGUGUUUGUAUUAAUUUGUAAUCAUAGUAUUUGAUGUCCACAGUAUUGAUUAAUUACCUUGAAUAUGUAAAUAGAAAUAUGUGCGUUUCAUAUUUAAAAUAAAAUUUUACAUUGUAA